rnacentral:rRNA from 1 species
UACGUAGGGGGCAAGCGUUGUCCGGAAUCAUUGGGCGUAAAGAGCGCGUAGGCGGCCCUGUAAGUCCGCUGUGAAAGUCAAAGGCUCAACCUUUGAAUGUCAGUGGAUACUGCCGGGCUAGAGUCCGGAAGAGGCGAGUGGAACUCCUGGUGUAGCGGUGGAAUGCGCAGAUAUCAGGAAGAACACCGACGGCGAAGGCAGCUCGCUGGGACGGUACUGACGCUGAGGCGCGAAAGCGUGGGGAGCGAACAGG